GACGAACGCUGGCGACGCGCUUAACACAUGCAAGUCGAACGGAAAGGCCUGCUUUCCCUUGUGGAUUGCGGGUACUCGAGUGGCGAACGGGUGAGUAACACGUGAGUGAUCUGCCCCCAACUUGGGUAUAAGCCUGGGAAACUGGGUCUAAUUCCCGAUAGGACUGCAGGGUGGUGCCUGUGGUGGAAAACGAUUUUCUAGUGGUUGGGGAUGAGCUCGCGGCCUAUCAGCUUGUUGGUGGGGUAAUGGCCUACCAAGGCGGCGACGGGUAGCCGGCCUGGGAGGGUGGACGGCCACAUUGGGACUGAGAUACGGCCCCGACUCCUACGGGAGGCAGCAGUGGGGAAUAUUGCACAAUGGGCGGAAGCCUGAUGCAGCGACGCCGCGUGGGGGAUGACGGCCUUCGGGUGGUAAACUCCUUUCGACCGCGAGGAAGCCACCUGGUUGGAAGGGUGGUGACGGUAGUGGUAGAAGAAGCACCGGCUAACUACGUG
rnacentral:rRNA from 1 species